ACCCGCUGAAUUUAAGCAUAUCACUAAGCGGAGGAAAAGAAACUAACCAGGAUUCCCCUAGUAACGGCGAGUGAAGAGGGAAUAGCCCAGCACCGAAGCCUGCGGCAGUUUUGCUGUUAGGCAAUGUGGUGUUUGGGUCGGCUCGUGGGACUGCCACUCCAUUCGAAGUCCAGCAUUGAGUAUGGUAAACUGGAUUUGGCCCAGAGAGGGUGAAAGGCCCGUGCGAAUGGAGGUUCAGACAAGUAAGGCAGUUCACUAGGCCGGCCUUCGAGUCGGGUUGUUUGGGAAUGCAGCCCAAAGUGGGUGGUAAACUCCAUCCAAGGCUAAAUACAGACACGAAUCCGAUAGCGAACAAGUACCGUGAGGGAAAGUUGAAAAGUACUUUGAAAAGAGAGUAAACAGCACGUGAAACCGCAUAGAGGUAAACGGGUGGCGUCAAGCUGCAAGCCCGAAGGAAUCAGUCGACAAGGUUGUUGUGUAUGUGCCUAGCGCAUCUAUCAGUCGGUAUUAGUGUCAGCAGUCCACUGGUGAAUGGUGGGCCCGGUCCUCUGGGCUGGGAUUUGUGUACCGGGUGGUUGCCGGAGCAAGCUGCUGGUCUGAUGGACUGUCUUGUCGGUGCACUUCCUUCGUGGUGGUCACCACGACCGAUGGUAUUGCCAGUCUGCUGUAGCAAAGUCGUGCGUGUGAUGGUCCUCGUGGCUGUUGCUGUGCGAUGUUCACAGGCAAACUCAGUUGACGGCAUAGUUCUGCUCUCGGGUGGGGCUGUGUGUUAUCGUCAAUUGGUUGUCAACGGGUCGAGCUGUGGUCGUUGUAUCCGCCAUUGGUUUGAUCCGGUGAGCUGCGGUGGUAUGAAUAACUGUGCAGGGCAUCGGUGUUCUCGGUCUCAAAUGCAGUCCGCAUGCACGGUACAAGUGUUUGUGUGAGGGGCGGCGUCGCAGCCUGCCUGUCCUUGGGUCUGAUUGACGUGUUGCCUGCGCAAAGUGGGCCCGGCUUUGGCUCGAGGUGGGAUGGUGUUGUUGGCGUCGUCUCGUGUGUGGACUGUGGUGGACCAGAUAGUCUGUGGUGUAGUGGUAGACCAACCACCCGACCCGUCUUGAAACACGGACCAAGGAGUUUAACAUGUAUGCAAGUCAAUGGGUCCUACGAAACCCAAAGGCGCAGUGAAAGUGAGGCUUCGACUUGUCUCGAAGUGAGGUGAGAUCCUGCCGUUUCUCGCACAUGCCAGCACUGGGCAUAGAGCGGUGGGCGCAUCACCGGCCCGUCCCAUGGUGUGGUCAUUGGAUGUCUGCAUCGGUUGCUUGCAGCCGGUGUGGUGCCAGUGCGACACCGGGGCGGAGCAUGAGCAUACAUGUUGAGACCCGAAAGAUGGUGAACUAUGCUUGCGUAGGUUGAAGCCAGAGGAAACUCUGGUGGAAGACCGCAGCGAUUCUGACGUGCAAAUCGAUCGUCAAACGUGAGUAUAGGGGCGAAAGACUAAUCGAACCAUCUAGUAGCUGGUUCCCUCCGAAGUUUCCCUCAGGAUAGC
rnacentral:rRNA from 1 species